rnacentral:rRNA from 1 species
UUAAGUGACUAAGCGUACAAGGUGGAUGCCUUGGCAAUCAGAGGCGAGGAAGGACGUGCUAAUCUGCGAAAAGCUUGGAUGAGUCGAUAAGAGGCGUUUAAUCCAAGAUGUCCGAAUGGGGAAACCCAGUAGAUGAAGAAUCUACUAUCACUUACUGAAUCCAUAGGUAAGUGAGGCAAACCGGGAGAACUGAAACAUCUAAGUACCCCGAGGAAAAGAAAUCAACCGAGAUUUCGUUAGUAGCGGCGAGCGAACGCGAAGGAGCCUGUUAGUGAUAAUGACAGAGACAGAGGAACAAGCUGGGAAGCUUGGCGAUACAGGGUGAUAGCCCCGUACUCGAAGUCCAGGUCAUGGUACUAAGCUAACGACAAGUAGGGCGGGACACGUGAUAUCCUGUUUGAAGAUGGGGGGACCAUCCUCCAAGGCUAAAUACUCCUGAUUGACCGAUAGUGAACCAGUACUGUGAAGGAAAGGCGAAAAGAACCCCGGUGAGGGGAGUGAAAUAGAACCUGAAACCUUGUACGUACAAGCAGUGGGAGCCCUUUAAGGGUGACUGCGUACCUUUUGUAUAAUGGGUCAGCGACUUAUAUUUUGUAGCGAGGUUAACCGAAUAGGGGAGCCGAAGGGAAACCGAGUCUUAACUGGGCGUCUAGUUGCAAGGUAUAGACCCGAAACCCGGUGAUCUAGCCAUGGGCAGGUUGAAGGUUGGGUAACACUAACUGGAGGACCGAACCGACUAAUGUUGAAAAAUUAGCGGAUGACUUGUGGCUGGGGGUGAAAGGCCAAUCAAACCGGGAGAUAGCUGGUUCUCCCCGAAAUCUAUUUAGGUAGAGCCUUGAGCGGACACCUUCGGGGGUAGAGCACUGUUUCGGCUAGGGGUCCAUCCCGGAUUACCAACCCGAUGCAAACUACGAAUACCGAAGAGUGAUACUCAGGAGACACACGGCGGGUGCUAACGUCCGUCGUGGAGAGGGAAACAACCCAGACCGCCAGCUAAGGUCCCAAAGUCUAUAUUAAGUGGGAAACGAAGUGGGAAGGCUUAGACAGCUAGGAUGUUGGCUUAGAAGCAGCCAUCAUUUAAAGAAAGCGUAAUAGCUCACUAGUCGAGUCGGCCUGCGCGGAAGAUGUAACGGGGCUCAAAUAUAGCACCGAAGCUGCGGCAUCAGACGAAAGUCUGUUGGGUAGGGGAGCGUUCUGUAAGCGGAUGAAGGUGGCUCGAGAGGGCUGCUGGACGUAUCAGAAGUGCGAAUGCUGACAUAAGUAACGAUAAAACGGGUGAAAAACCCGUUCGCCGGAAGACCAAGGGUUCCUGUCCAACGUUAAUCGGGGCAGGGUGAGUCGGCCCCUAAGGCGAGGCUGAAAAGCGUAGUCGAUGGGAAACGGGUUAAUAUUCCCGUACUUGGAUAAACUGCGAUGUGGGGACGGAGCAGGUUAGGUUAUCGCACUGUUGGAUAUGUGCGUUUAAGUUGGUAGGUGUGAAGUUUAGGCAAAUCCGGACUUCUAUAACACCGAGAGAUGAUGACGAGGCUCUACGGAGCUGAAGUAACCGAUACCACACUUCCAGGAAAAGCCACUAAGCUUCAGGUUUAUCUAAACCGUACUGAAAACCGACACAGGUGGUCAGGUAGAGAAUACUCAGGCGCUUGAGAGAACUCGGGUGAAGGAACUAGGCAAAAUAGCACCGUAACUUCGGGAGAAGGUGCGCCGGCGUAGAUUGUAGUCCCUUGCGGGCGAAGGUUGAACCGGUCGAAGAUACCAGCUGGCUGCAACUGUUUAUUAAAAACACAGCACUCUGCAAACACGAAAGUGGACGUAUAGGGUGUGACGCCUGCCCGGUGCCGGAAGGUUAAGUGAUGGGGUGCAAGCUCUUGAUCGAAGCCCCGGUAAACGGCGGCCGUAACUAUAACGGUCCUAAGGUAGCGAAAUUCCUUGUCGGGU